AACGUAGGAGACGAACGUUAUCCGGAGUUACUGGGCGUAAAGGGCGUGUAGGCGGUUUGUUAAGUCUGGCGUGAAAGCUCCCGGCUAAACCGGGAGAGGUCGUUGGAUACUGGCAAACUUGAGGAUGGUAGAGGCGUGUGGAAUUCCGGGUGUAGUGGUGAAAUGCGUAGAGAUCCGGAGGAACACCAGUGGCGAAGGCGACACGCUGGGCCAUACCUGACGCUAAAGCGCGACAGCAUGGGGAGCAAACGGG
rnacentral:rRNA from 1 species